GAUAAAAAUAGCAGCACUUGAAAUCCUUCUCUUUGAAACAAUUUAUUUUAAACAGAUAUUUUAAUUUGUGUUACAACACAGAUGCAAAAAAAAGCCAAGUUUAUCUGCAGCUUUGCUAACUGGAGCCAGCCCAUCAUUAUGCUAAGCGUUAUGUAAUGUUAACAAAAUAGAGCUGGUGCCUACACAUCUUAUGCUAACUAAUGCACUUUACAGAAGUAUAAAUAUCAAUUUACCAAAGCAAAUAACUGCAGAACAAACAAUAAAACAUUAGUUCCCAUAUUGCCACACUAGCACAUGGAACAGCAUGAGUAUUUAUGAACUUGCAGAGCAGUUCAAAUGCUGGUGCUUAUCCACAGCAACGUAAGCAGGCAUGCAGGUGCUGGAAAACAGAGAUGGCUCAGGGACGCCACCCAGAUCCUGAAUUAAUCACCUCCUCUUGACUAUUGAACCCUUCUCAUCCACCAUCAAGAAAACAAUACAAUAUCUUCUGAAAUUCAAAGCAGUGAUUUAUUAGCCAAGAAGGAAUGUAUUACCUUUGAUACAUCUGGAAGCACAGUAAGUAUUCUCAAUGUAACCACAUUAUUCCUCUGAAUGAAAAAGGCAAUUCUUUCCAGCACAGCUUCACUAUUUAUAAAAAGAGAAUAUUCAGUGG
rnacentral:lncRNA from 1 species